GACGAACGCUGACGGCGUGCUUUAGACAUGCAAGUCGAACGAGAAAGCCCUUCGGGGUUAGUAAAGUGGCGAACGGGUGAGUAACACGUGGGCAAUCUGCCCUUCGUUGGGGGACAACCGGGGGAAACCCCGGCUAAUACCCCGUAAGCUUGUCGGGUCGCAUGGCCUGACAAGGAGAGGUAGCUUCGGCCAUCCGGCGAAGGAGGAGCCCGCGGUACAUUAGCUAGUUGGUGAGGUAAAGGCCCACCAAGGCGACGAUGUAUAGCUGGUCUGAGAGGAUGAUCAGCCACACUGGGACUGAGACACGGCCCAGACUCCUACGGGAGGCAGCAGUCGGGAAUCUUGCACAAUGGGCGAAAGCCUGAUGCAGCAACGCCGUGUGAGCGACGAAGGCCCUAGGGUCGUAAAGCUCUGUUGUUAGGGACGAAGGGCGAAGGGUUAAUAGCCCUUAGCCUGACGGUACCUUUCGAGGAAGCCCCGGCUAACUACGUGCCAGCCGCCGCGGUAA
rnacentral:rRNA from 1 species